GAUGAACGCUGGCGGCGUGCCUAAUACAUGCAAGUCGAGCGAACAGACGAUGAUCUUGCUCCUCUGACGUUAGCGGCAGACGUGUGAGUAACACGUGUAUAACCUACCUAUAAGACUGGUAUAACUUCGGGAAACCGGAUCUAAUACCGGAUAAUAUAUUGAACCGCAUGGUUCAAUAGUGAAAUACGGUUGUUCUGUCACGUAUAGAUGGAUCCGGGCCGCAUUAGCUGGUUGGUAAGUUAACGGCUUAUCAAGGCAACGAUGCGUAGACGACCGGAGAGGCUGAUAGGCGACCCUGGAGGUUGGCCAGGCUCAAGAGUACUAAGGGAGGCAGCAGUCGGGAAUCUUACGCAACGGGCGAAAGUAUGACGGAGUAACGCCGAGUGUGUGACGACGGUGUUCGGAUCGUAAUGCUCUGUUACGAGGGAUGAACCACUGUGUCCGUAACUAUGCACGUAUUGACGGUACCUAAUCAGAAAGCCACGGCUAACUACGUG
rnacentral:rRNA from 1 species